GAUGAACGCUGGCGGCGUGCCUAAUACAUGCAAGUCGAGCGAACGGACGAGAAGCUUGCUUCUCUGAUGUUAGCGGCGGACGGGUGAGUAACACGUGGAUAACCUACCUAUAAGACUGGGAUAACUUCGGGAAACCGGAGCUAAUACCGGAUAAUAUUUUGAACCGCAUGGUUCAAAAGUGGAAGACGGUCUUGCUGUCACUUAUAGAUGGAUCCGCGCUGCAUUAGCUAGUUGGUAAGGUAACGGCUUACCAAGGCAACGAUGCAUAGCCGACCUGAGAGGGUGAUCGGCCACACUGGAACUGAGACACGGUCCAGACUCCUACGGGAGGCAGCAGUAGGGAAUCUUCCGCAAUGGGCGAAAGCCUGACGGAGCAACGCCGCGUGAGUGAUGAAGGUCUUCGGAUCGUAGAACUCCGUUAUUAGGGAAGAACAUAUGUGUAAGUAACUGUGCACAUCUUGACGGUACCUAAUCAGAGAGCCACGGCUAACUACGUG
rnacentral:rRNA from 1 species